rnacentral:misc_RNA from 1 species
CCGAGUUUACAACUCCCAAACCCCUGUGAACAUACCUAUACGUUGCCUCGGCGGAUCAGCCCGCGCCCCGUAAAAAGGGACGGCCCGCCGAGGACCCCUAAACUCUGUUUUUAGUGGAACUUCUGAGUAAAACAAACAAAUAAAUCA